rnacentral:rRNA from 1 species
GUAACGCGUAUCCAACCUGCCCACCACUUGGGGAUAACCUUGCGAAAGUAAGACUAAUACCCAAUGACGUCUCUAGAAGACAUCUGAAAGAGAUUAAAGAUUUAUCGGUGAUGGAUGGGGAUGCGUCUGAUUAGCUUGUUGGCGGGGUAACGGCCCACCAAGGCGACGAUCAGUAGGGGUUCUGAGGGGAAGGUCCCCCACAUUGGAACUGAGACACGGUCCAAACUCCUACGGGAGGCAGCAGUGAGGAAUAUUGGUCAAUGGACGAGAGUCUGAACCAGCCAAGUAGCGUGCAGGAUGACGGCCCUAUGGGUUGUAAACUGCUUUUAUAAGGGAAUAAAGUGAGUCUCGUGAGACUUUUUGCAUGUACCUUAUGAAUAAGGACCGGCUAAUUCCGUGCCAGCAGCCGCGGUAGUACGGAAGGUCCGGGCGUUAUCCGGAUUUAUUGGGUUUAAAGGGAGCGUAGGCCGGAGAUUAAGCGUGUUGUGAAAUGUAGACGCUCAACGUCUGCACUGCAGCGCGAACUGGUUUCCUUGAGUACGCACAAAGUGGGCGGAAUUCGUGGUGUAGCGGUGAAAUGCUUAGAUAUCACGAAGAACUCCGAUUGCGAAGGUAGCUCACUGGAGCGCAACUGACGCUGAAGCUCGAAAGUGCGGGUAUCGAACAGGAUUAGAUACCCUGGUAGUCCG